rnacentral:rRNA from 1 species
CCCUUAGAUGUUCUGGGCCGCACGCGCGCUACACUGACGAAUUCAACGAGCUUUUACUAUAUUUGUAGUAAAUUCCUUUAUCGGAAGAUAUGGGUAAUCUUUAAAUGUUUGUCGUGAUGGGGCUAGAUUUUUGCAAUUAUUAAUCUCCAACGAGGAAUUCCUAGUAAACGCAAGUCAUCAGCUUGCAUUGAAUACGUCCCUGCCCUUUGUACACACCGCCCGUCGCACCUACCGAUUGAAUGGUCCGGUGAAAUCUCCGGACUGGCGUGAGUCGGAGCAAUCUGACAAACACCGGAAAGUUGAUUAAACCUUACCAUUUAGAGGAAGGAGAAGUCGUAACA